AUACUGAACCCCUCUAUAUUCCUUGUAUCUUUUCAAACACUAAAAUAAGAACAUAUGCAAAGAGUAAAAGAAAACGGAAACGAGGUUCCUACAAACCCACCAGAAAUAAACAGUAUUUGCAGAGAAAUCUUCCUUGGGGUCUGCUCUGCUGUGCAGGAGCAUGGAGGAAACUUGCAGGGAUAUUCAGUCUAUUCAUGAAGCAAUAAAAAGUGUGGA